rnacentral:rRNA from 1 species
AUGCUCCGAUCUGAACGGGGCGGCCGGACUGCCUGCGUGGCGGUGGACGACGUCGCCCAGGCCAACAACAUCAUCCAGCGCCUCAACGACUUCCCCUCCAUGGCGCACAUCUCCGGGAUGGGCCUCAAGGUCGUGCCGAUGAUCGCGGCCUUCUCCAACCUCUGCGCAGUCAACCUCUCCGGCACCGAUGAUGAAAUCAUUUCUGCUAUCGCUGCAUUACUACAUCCUCCGCCUGCUCAUAUCAUGCUGUGUAGGAUGUUUGCCUUUCUUCAUUCCGUGUCUGUGACCUCUAGCCAUUUGUCAGACAUGUUUUUUUCUUAG